rnacentral:hammerhead_ribozyme from 1 species
AUUUAGUUGACGAGUCCUGAGUAGGACGAAACGCACAUCCUGAAU